rnacentral:rRNA from 1 species
AGAACGAACGCUGGCGGCAUGCCUAACACAUGCAAGUCGAACGAGACCUUCGGGUCUAGUGGCGCACGGGUGCGUAACGCGUGGGAAUCUGCCCUUGGGUUCGGAAUAACAGCGAGAAAUUGCUGCUAAUACCGGAUGAUGACGUAAGUCCAAAGAUUUAUCGCCCAAGGAUGAGCCCGCGUAGGAUUAGCUUGUUGGUGAGGUAAGAGCUCACCAAGGCGACGAUCCUUAGCUGGUCUGAGAGGAUGAUCAGCCACACUGGGACUGAGACACGGCCCAGACUCCUACGGGAGGCAGCAGUGGGGAAUUUUGGACAAGUGGGGGAAACCUGAUCCAGCCAU